GACGAACGCUGGCGGCGUGCCUAAUACAUGCAAGUAGAACGCUGAAGGAGGAGCUUGCUUCUCUGGAUGAGUUGCGAACGGGUGAGUAACGCGUAGGUAACCUGCCUGGUAGCGGGGGAUAACUAUUGGAAACGAUAGCUAAUACCUCAUAAGAGUAGAUGUUGCAUGACAUUUGCUUAAAAGGUGCAAUUGCAUCACUACCAGAUGGACCUGCGUUGUAUUAGCUAGUUGGUGGGGUAACGGCUCACCAAGGCGACGAUACAUAGCCGACCUGAGAGGGUGAUCGGCCACACUGGGACUGAGACACGGCCCAGACUCCUACGGGAGGCAGCAGUAGGGAAUCUUCGGCAAUGGACGGAAGUCUGACCGAGCAACGCCGCGUGAGUGAAGAAGGUUUUCGGAUCGUAAAGCUCUGUUGUAAGAGAAGAACGAGUGUGAGAGUGGAAAGUUCACACUGUGACGGUAUCUUACCAGAAAGGGGCGGCUAACUACGUG
rnacentral:rRNA from 1 species